UGCUUUACACAUGCAAGUCGAACGGCAGCACGGGGGCAACCCUGGUGGCGAGUGGCGAACGGGUGAGUAACACAUCGGAACGCGUCCUGUAAUGGGGGAUAACCUGGCGAAAGCCAGGCUAAUACCGCAUACGUCCUGAGGGAGAAAGCGGGGGAUUGGCAACGACCUCGCGUUAUAGGAGUGGCCGAUGUCGGAUUAGCUAGUUGGUGGGGUAAAGGCCUACCAAGGCGACGAUCCGUAGCGGGUCUGAGAGGACGGCCCGCCACACUGGGACUGAGACACGGCCCAGACUCCUACGGGAGGCAGCAGUGGGGAAUUUUGGACAAUGGGCGCAAGCCUGAUCCAGCCAUUCCGCGUGAGUGAAGAAGGCCUUCGGGUUGUAAAGCUC
rnacentral:rRNA from 1 species